ACUUACUGGUGAAAUCCCAAGUUCUGUUUCAAAUAUUAUGAAUCUGUCUGUUCUUGAUUUGUCUUCAAAUAUCUUGUCUGGAAAAAUCCCAGUUGAGUUUGGUUCAUUUCUUGGACUUAAGUUACUUAACUUGUCAUAUAAUAGUUUAAGUUCUUACAUUCCUUCUGAAAUUUCAAAUCUUUCUGGAUUAGUUGAACUUGAUCUUGGUUUUAAUUACUUCUCAGGUUCAUUGCCUGAGGGUUUAUUAAGAAUGAGAAAUUUGAGUAAACUGUUAGUUGGGAAUAAUGAGUUAGAGGGUGCAUUGUCAAGUAGUUUGUUUACUUCAAAUGAUUCUGUGUUGGAGUAUAUAAAUCUUCGUUCGAAUCGAUUCGAAGGCAAAGUUCCUGAUGUUUUGUGGUUUUUGUCUGAUCAUUUGAGGGUUCUUGAUAUAUCAGGGAACAAUUUCACUGGUGUGGUUUCAAAUAGUACCUAUUUUAGUGUUACUGGUGCUUCAUAUAACCUUUCG
rnacentral:misc_RNA from 1 species